UACGUAGGGGGCGAGCGUUGUCCGAAGUUACUGGGCGUAAAGAGCGCGUAGGCGGCCUUUUAAGUGACUGGUGAAAUCCCCGGGCUCAACCCGGGAGGGUCUGGUCAUACUGGGAGGCUAGAGUGUGGGAGAGGAAAGCGGAACUCCAGGUGUAGCGGUGAUAUGCGUAGAUAUCUGGAAGAACACCCGUGGCGAAGGCGGCUUUCUGGACCACAACUGACGCUGAGGCGCGAAAGCCAGGGGAGCGAACGGG
rnacentral:rRNA from 1 species